AUUGAACGCUGGCGGCAGGCCUAACACAUGCAAGUCGAACGGUAACAGGAAGCAGCUUGCUGCUUUGCUGACGAGUGGCGGACGGGUGAGUAAUGUCUGGGAAACUGCCUGAUGGAGGGGGAUAACUACUGGAAACGGUAGCUAAUACCGCAUAACGUCGCAAGACCAAAGAGGGGGACCUUAGGGCCUCUUGCCAUCGGAUGUGCCCAGAUGGGAUUAGCUAGUAGGUGGGGUAACGGCUCACCUAGGGGACGAUCCCUAGCUGGUCUGAGAGGAUGACCAGCCACACUGGAACUGAGACACGGUCCAGACUCCUACGGGAGGCAGCAGUGGGGAAUAUUGCACAAUGGGCGCAAGCCUGAUGCAGCCAUGCCGCGUGUAUGAAGAAGGCCUUCGGGUUGUAAAGUACUUUCAGCGGGGAGGAAGGGAGUAAAGUUAAUACCUUUGCUCAUUGACGUUACCCGCAGAAGAAGCACCGGCUAACUCCGUG
rnacentral:rRNA from 1 species